rnacentral:rRNA from 1 species
AACGAACGCUGGCGGCAUGCCUAACACAUGCAAGUCGAACGAAGCCUUCGGGCUUAGUGGCGAACGGGUGCGUAACGCGUGGGGAUCUGCCCUUCGCUUCGGAAUAACAGUUAGAAAUGACUGCUAAUACCGGAUGAUGUCGUAAGACCAAAGAUUUAUCGGCAAAGGAUGAACCCGCGUAGGAUUAGCUAGUUGGUGGGGUAAAGGCCUACCAAGGCGACGAUCCUUAGCUGGUCUGAGAGGAUGAUCAGCCACACUGGGACUGAAACACGGCCCAGACUCCUACGGGAAGCAGCUGUGGGGAAUAUUGGACAAUGGGCGAAAGCCUGAUCCAGCAAUGCCGCGUGAGUGAUGAAGGCCUUAGGGUUGUAAAGCUCUUUUACCCUGGAUGAUAAUUACAGUACCGAGAGAAUAAGCCCCGGCUAACUCCGUGCAAGCAGCCGCGGUAA